GGAGAAGAUAUCUAGUGCUCCCAGGACAUUAGAUGCUGCCAAAUAAUGCCAUGCUCCGGAUCAAUCUAAGCCGUUCAGUAAAAACUAGCGCGUUUGACAGUUUUGCAGUUAGCCGCUUAAAAUUUGUGUAAAUCAAUCCUCGCUCCACCCAUUUCUCUCUCCUCCUCACUCUAUCUCCCCCGAGCCUCUUUCUUCCGAGCCGCCGCCCCCAAGCCCUAGCUGGAGCCGCCCUCCUCCCGGACGACGUUGCCGCCUCCGUUCGCCGGCGCCCGGAUCCGCCGCCGUCUCCAUCCGCGGGCAUCUCGGAGCUCCCGCCGCCUGCGUCCGGUUGCCGGCCGGCCGCCGCCUCCUCUCGUGCCGCCGCGCCCCUGCCUCCGGAUCCGGCCGGCCCUGGGCGAGGGCGCCCGGUCGCCGCCUCCUCUCGUGCGCGCCGCGCCCCUGCCUCCGGAUCCGGCCGGCCCCGUGCGAGGGCGCCCGGCCGCCGCCUCCUCUCGUGCGCCCCGCCGGCGCCUCCGCUGCCUGCUUCGGAUCCGGCCAGCCCCGUCCUCCUCCGUGCGGCGGCGCCUGACGUUGCUCUCUCCGGCUGCCUAGGUUGAAUCUUUUUUUAUUGCGGAUGGAUUUGGUUUAGCUUUUGGUUCCAUGCAAUUUUCAUUGACUGCGGAUGAAUCGUUUUUUGUUUUCUCGUAAAUAUCUUGGUUCCGAAACAGCUCGUGAAAUUUGUUGUAAAUUUGUACAGAAUUCCAUUCAUUUCAUUGAAGGUUUGUAGAUUUUUCUUUGAUAUCUUGUCGAUUUUCAAACAAAACUCAUUGAAAUCUCACCGAUGCACCGUUCAAAAUCCAGACGACUAAAAUCUCAUUGAAAUUUCACAAAUGCACAAUUGAAAAUCCAAACGUGCAAUUAAAAUCUCAUUGAAAUUUCACAGACGCAUCGUUGAAAUUCCAAACGUGCCAUUAUUUCAUUGAUACGCCAUUGAAAUUUCAUUGACG
rnacentral:lncRNA from 1 species